rnacentral:lncRNA from 1 species
UUCCCCCAAGAACAGAGCAAUGCUCUGUUUUCCUUCUCAACCGAGCUCACCUCCUCCUUGGACCCGCCGGCCACCACCCAAACCGAGCUCUCCUCUUGGACGUGAGCUCCUCCCCUUUUAUAGAUCCUCACCAGAGAUCAUCCACAUGAUUUUGCGUGGAGAGGAGGAAGAACGGGCGCCUGGGAUUUCGGCAGGUGGAUCCGGACGCGUUGUGGCUGGAUGGAUCGCAGAUUGCGGCUGGAUCGCUGUUGGGUCGAGCGGAAGAAGCCGGGAGGAGCGUGGAUCCGGGCACUGGGAGGAGCCGAUCACGGGAUGAAGCUGGGCGUGGUGCGGAUGGGGCGGACGGAGGCUUGAUUGCUGGAGAUGUGGCACGCGGACGCUGGGAGGAGGCUGUGAACUUCUUUCUUUGGGCCAAGAGGGGGACGCGAUGCGGAAGGAAGAAGGCGCGGGCUGAGGCGGAGCGGGCGUGGGAUGAUGGCGUUGAA